rnacentral:pre_miRNA from 1 species
AAUGGAAUUGCUGGGUCAAAUGGUAAUUCUAUGUUUAACUUUUUGAGGAACUGCUAGAAUGUUUUCCACAGUGGCUAUACCAUUUUACAUUCCCACCAGCAAU